rnacentral:rRNA from 1 species
AAUACAUCGGAACGUGCCUAGUAGUGGGGGAUAACUACUCGAAAGAGUGGCUAAUACCGCAUGAGAUCUACGGAUGAAAGCAGGGGAUCGCAAGACCUUGUGCUACUAGAGCGGCCGAUGGCAGAUUAGGUAGUUGGUGGGAUAAAAGCUUACCAAGCCGACGAUCUGUAGCUGGUCUGAGAGGACGAUCAGCCACACUGGGACUGAGACACGGCCCAGACUCCUACGGGAGGCAGCAGUGGGGAAUUUUGGACAAUGGGCGCAAGCCUGAUCCAGCAAUGCCGCGUGCAGGAUGAAGGCCUUCGGGUUGUAAACUGCUUUUGUACAGAACGAAAAGCCCUGGGUUAAUACCCUGGGGUCAUGACGGUACCGUAAGAAUAAGCACCGGCUAACUACGUGCCAGCAGCCGCGGUAAUACGUAGGGUGCGAGCGUUAAUCGGAAUUACUGGGCGUAAAGCGUGCGCAGGCGGUUUUGUAAGACAGAGGUGAAAUCCCCGGGCUCAACCUGGGAACUGCCUUUGUGACUGCAAGGCUAGAGUACGGCAGAGGGGGACGGAAUUCCGCGUGUAGCAGUGAAAUGCGUAGAUAUGCGGAGG